CAGUGGUACAUGCCUGUAAUCUCCUCUGUUCAGAAGGCUGAUGUGGGAGGAUGCACCUGAGGCUUGUCGGCCUACUCUCCUGUGUGAAUGCCUGCCAGGAACCCGGGGACUCAGAGACCCAGCGUCCUUCUUGCAACUCCAACACAUUCUGCGUCACAUGACCUCAAAUAGAUCUGCAGAGGCAGGAAAGGCAAGAAGAGCGGCCUCCUGACUUGAUCUAAGGCGUAUAUCCAGGAGGUGAGAGCAAGAAUGCAGGCAAAGAGCGGCUUCUGAUGAAGUCUCCUGUCCCUCCUGGGUCCACCGCGUGCCUUCUCUGCCAAACAAAGAGCUGGAAGCCAGGUGAACCUGCUCAGGAUAAUGGCAGGAUUGAGACACCAUCUCGGCUCUCACCUCAAGGAGCAGCCCACCUGGUUUUUGAAACCCUCUCCCUCAGCUUUGCUUGGCCUUUGCCUACCCAUCCCACAAACUCUGAAUCCAAGUCCAAAGAGAUCUGUUUCCCAGAGCAGAGCGCCCCGAGUUCCAAGGAGACACUACGUGCAGAAACACAGCAAUUGUCUUCUUCGUGAUCCACCGUCUCUGAACAUUAAAGCCAUCGUUGAACUUCUUGCUAUGCAAAAUGACUGACUCGUCA